rnacentral:rRNA from 1 species
UACGUAGGAGACGAGCGUUGUCCGGGGUUACUGGGCGUAAAGGGCGCGCAGGCGGCCGCCCGCGUGUGUGGUGAAAGCUCCUGGCUUAACUAGGAGAGGUCCAUGCAGACGGGGUGGCUUGAGCGUCGGAGAGGGGCAUGGAAUUCCGGGUGGAGCGGUGAAAUGCGUAGAGAUCCGGAGGAACACCAAUGGCGAAGGCAGUGCCCUGGCCGACGGCUGACGCUCAGGCGCGAAAGCGUGGGGAGCAAACAGG